rnacentral:rRNA from 1 species
AGAGUUUGAUCCUGGCUCAGGAUGAACGCUAGCGGCAGGCUUAACACAUGCAAGUCGAGGGGCAUCGAGGAGUAGCAAUACUCUGUCGGCGACCGGCGGACGGGUGCGUAACGCGUAUGCAACCUACCCUUUACAGGGGGAUAACACUGAGAAAUUGGUACUAAUACCCCAUAAUAUUCCGAGAGGCAUCUCUUGGGGUUGAAAGCUAUCGUGGUAAAGGAUGGGCAUGCGUUGUAUUAGCUAGUUGGUGAGGUAACGGCUCACCAAGGCGACGAUACAUAGGGGGACUGAGAGGUUAACCCCCCACAUUGGUACUGAGACACGGACCAAACUCCUACGGGAGGCAGCAGUGAGGAAUAUUGGUCAAUGGGCGGAAGCCUGAACCAGCCAUGCCGCGUGCAGGAAGACGGCUCUAUGAGUUGUAAACUGCUUUUGUACGAGGGUAAACGCAGAUACGUGUAUCUGCCUGAAAGUAUCGUACGAAUAAGGAUCGGCUAACUCCGUGCCAGCAGCCGCGGUAAUACGGAGGAUCCAAGCGUUAUCCGGAUUUAUUGGGUUUAAAGGGUGCGUAGGCGGUUUAGUAAGUCAGCGGUGAAAUUUUGGUGCUUAACACCAAACGUGCCGUUGAUACUGCUGAGCUAGAGAGUAGUUGCGGUAGGCGGAAUGUAUGGUGUAGCGGUGAAAUGCUUAGAGAUCAUACAGAACACCGAUUGCGAAGGCAGCUUACCAAACUAUAUCUGACGUUGAGGCACGAAAGCGUGGGGAGCAAACAGGAUUAGAUACCCUGGUAGUCCACGCAGUAAACGAUGAUAGCUCGUUGUCGGCGAUACACAGUCGGUGACUAAGAGAAAUCGAUAAGCUAUCCACCUGGGGAGUACGCCGGCAACGGUGAAACUCAAAGGAAUUGACGGGGGCCCGCACAAGCGGAGGAACAUGUGGUUUAAUUCGAUGAUACGCGAGGAACCUUACCCGGGCUCAAACGACAGCGGACAGCUCCUGAAAGGGGGUCUCCGGCAACGGCCGCUGUCGAGGUGCUGCAUGGUUGUCGUCAGCUCGUGCCGUGAGGUGUCGGCUUAAGUGCCAUAACGAGCGCAACCCCCAUCUCCAGUUGCCACCGGGUCGUGCCGGGCACUCUGGAGGGACUGCCAGCGCAAGCUGCGAGGAAGGCGGGGAUGACGUCAAAUCAGCACGGCCCUUACGUCCGGGGCGACACACGUGUUACAAUGGCGGAGAACAGAGGGGAGCCACGUGGCGACACGGAGCCGAUCCCUAAAAUCCGUCUCAGUUCGGAUUGGAGUCUGCAACCCGACUCCAUGAAGCUGGAUUCGCUAGUAAUCGCGCAUCAGCCAUGGCGCGGUGAAUACGUUCCCGGGCCUUGCACUCACCGCCCGU